GUAAUAUGUAGUAUUGAGUAUAAGAACUAGAACCGCAACCGGUUCCCAAAAGCUAAAGUUGUGUUUCCUUGUUAGAAGAUACAAAGCCAAAGACUCUUACGGACUUCGGCAACACCAUGAAAAU
rnacentral:sRNA from 1 species